UACGUAGGGUGCAGGCGUUAAUCGGAAUUACUGGGCGUAAAGCGUGCGCAGGCGGUUUGCUAAGACAGGUGUGAAAUCCCCCGGGCUUAACCUGGGAACUGCGCUUGUAACUGGCAAGCUGGAGUGCGGCAGAGGGGGGAUGGGAAUUCCGCGUGUAGCAGUGAAAUGCGUAGAUAUGCGGAGGAACACCGAUGGCGAAGGCAAUCCCCCUGGGCCUGCACUGACGCUCAUGCACGAAAGCGUGGGGAGCAAACAGG
rnacentral:rRNA from 1 species